rnacentral:rRNA from 1 species
GACAGAGGUGCCAAGCGUUAGGCGGAAUCACUGGGCUUAAAGCGUGUGUAGGCGGGCGGGCAAGUACCUUGUGAAAUCCCACGGCUCAACCGUGGAACGGCUGGGUAUACUGCCUGUCUUGAGCCAGCUAGGGGCGACCGGAACAGACGGUGGAGCGGUGAAAUGCGUAGAUAUCGUCUGGAACGCCGAAGGUGAAAACAGCUCGCUGGGGCUGCGCUGACGCUGAGACACGAAAGCCAGGGGAGCGAACGGG